ACGCGAAAUGUAGUAGCAUUGUUGUUGUAGUGCGCUGACCUGUACUUCUAAUCAAACAAAAGUAGGGCUCUGGUGCCACCUCGCGGACGAGGAUUUACAGUAGCUUCUCCGCCACCAAUAUCCAUACUCGCGGUUGUAGCGAGCAGAGCAACCAAAGAAAAAGAGAAACGAGAACGCAAGGGAGCUCUGGGGAGCUUGAAAUGUCAAGACCCACCCCGAAUUUCACCUUGACACCCAAAGAUAGGUUUUUAUCCCAACUCCCCCUGAACUGCAAGGCACAAGCUCUCAACAUAUCCUCCAAAGUCUAAAUAGUCCUCUCCGAUUGCCCAUCGUUCUGAGGAUGAAAAGUAGUGCUGAAGUGCAAUCGGGUGCCUAAAGCUGCUUGAAGAGCUCCCCAUAAUUUAGAAGCAAAUCUAGGAUCCUGAUCCGACACUAUUGAUUCAGGUACAUCAUGAAGUCUCACAAAUUCAUUCACAUAAAGCUCCGCCAAUUUAUCCAGUAUAUACUUCUUUCCCACUGGUAAGAAAUGUGCCGAUUUAGUGAGUCUAUCCACAAUCAUCCAAAUACCGUCAUGCCCUUCACGGGUACGAGGUAAACUGAAAACAAAAUCCAAGGUGAUGUGGUCCCACUUCCACACUAGAAUAGACAACGGCUCAAUCAAACACCUACUCACAAAAGCUGCAAUUUCUCUCUUCAUGUUUGGCCACCAAUAAUAAUCCUUCAAGGUCCGAUACAUUUUUAUACUACCCGGAUGAGCAGCAUAUGCAGAACUAUGAGCUUCCUCCAUUAUUUCCUUCUUUAACUCUUCCUUUCUCUUUGGAACACAGCCUAUUUUUGAACAAUAAAGUUUCAUCUCUUCUAACUAAAAAAUCAACGGUGGUUCCACUCAAUGUUCUUUCUAUCAACCGAACAAUAGAACGAUCAUUAUAUUAUGCCUCCCGCACUUUAUCAACCAAAAUUGGCCUCACAUGGAAACUAACUACCAAAGCACCAACUUCAUCUACCGAUAAAUCCACCCCUGUAACUCGCAACUCAUAAAGAAGUGGAACUCGAACCGUCCUCAUGUGAGACAAAGAUAUGGAGGGAUUUCGAUUAAGAGCAUCUGCUACCACAUUAGCUUUUCCAGGAUGAUACUCAAUAGUGCAAUCAUAAUCAUUGCUCAACUCCAUCCACCUUUUCUGUCUCAUAUUUAGCUCUCUUUGAGUGAACACAUACCGAAGACUCUUGUGAUCGGUAAAAAUCUGACAAUUGGCUCCAUAAAGAUAAUGUCUCCAUAACUUGAGAGCGAAAACUACCGUACUACCGUUGCAAGCUCUAGAUCAUGAGUGUGAUAAUUUAUCUCAUAUGGCUUCAAUUGCCUAGAAGCAUAGGCAAUAACUCGAUCAUGCUGAAUCAAUACUCCGCCUAGACCUCGUCUAGAAGCAUCACAAUAAACCACAUACUCCCCACUAUCAUCCGGAUGUGCCAAAACAGGAGCACUAGUCAAGCGAUUCUUCAAUUCUUGAAAACUUUGCUCACAUUGAUCUGACCAUUCAAACUAAUACCUUUCUUGGUCAAUCUUGUAAGAGGAGCAGCAAUCUUUGAAAAAUCUUGUAUGAAGUGUCGAUAAUAACCUGCUAAUCCCAAGAAACUACGGAUCUCCGUCACAGUGGUGAGUUUUCUCCAAUUUGACACUACUUCCACCUUUUGGGGAUCCACACUAACUCCUUCUGCCGAAACCACAUGACCCAAGAACCCCACUUUAUCUAGCCAAAACUCACACUUGCUAAACUUGGCAUAUAACUGAGAAUUUCUCAAAGUCUGCAAUAUCAUUCUUAGAUGCUUGACAUGCUCUUUCUCACUUCUUGAGUAAACCAAGAUGUCAUCUAUGAAUACGUUCAUGAAACGAUCAAGAUAUUGACUAAACACCCUAUUCAUUAGAUCCAUGAAUGCCGCGUGUGCAUUAGUAAGUCCAAAUGGCAUCACCACAAAUUCAUAAUGACCAUAACGUGAUCGAAAAACAGUCUUGGCUAUGUCACUCUCCCGGAUCCGCAACUGAUGAUAUCCCGAUCUCAAAUCAAUUUUUGAAAAGACGGAAGUACCUCUCAAUUGAUCAAAUAAAUCAUCAAUGCGGGGCAAAAAAUAUUUAUUCUUCACUGUGACUUGAUUUAACUUCCUAUAAUCAAUGCAUCUCAUGGUGCCAUCUUUCUUCUUAACAAACAACACCGGAGCACCCCAUGGAGACAUGCUAGGCUGAAUAAAUCAUUUGUUUACCAACUCCUACAAUUGAGUCUUUAACUCCCUCAAUUCCGCUGGAGCCAUUAUGUAAGGUGCAUGUGAGACAGACAUAGUUCCAAGAAGUAACUCAAUAGAAAAGUCAGUCUCCCUUACAGGAAGCAAACCAGGCAACUCCUCGGGAAAGACAUUCAGAAACUCUCUUACUACGGGAAUAUCUUCUACUCCCAAAACUCCCACAGUUGUAUCCACAAUGUGUGCUAAAUAUGCCUGACAGCCUUUAUAUAACAAUUUUCUAGUAGCAACAGCUGAUAUCAAGCAACUCGAAAUAACGUCUUUUUCCCCUUGAAAAGUAACCUCAAAUCCUUAUGGACUGCGAAGCACCACUACUUUUUGAAAAUAAUCUACCAUAGCUCUAUAUGCCUCCAAAAAGUCUAUUCCCAAGAUCACAUCAAACUCCACUAUGUCUAAAGGAAUUAAAUCGGCCUUGAAAUUUAAUCCCUCUACUAAUACUUCACAACCACUAAACACCCAAUUUAUUCUCAUCACCUCACCAGAGGGUAGAGACACAUGCCAUUCGUCUAGAAGAGACAAUGAUGACACAUUGGCAUGGAGAGAAAAUCUACUAGACAUAAAUGAAUGCGUGGCUCCGGGAUCAAUUAAAGUAAAAGCAGGCUGACCAAAAAUUAAUAACGUACCAAUGUCUAGAGAAGUACGACCUUACUACUGGGUCAUAGCAUGCAGUCUAGCGCGAGUCAUAGGACGUCCACGUUGACCACUACCCUGCUGGGACUCACCCCUAGCUGUUGAACUGCCAUGAGUACCACUGCUAGAGCCUCUGGCUGAAGAUUGACCGACUGGAUAGGUAGGGGUGGGGGUGGUCCUCUGAGCCAACAAGGGACAAUCUCUCCUGAAAUGAUCCUGACCACCACACUCAUAACACCCUGUAGACUACUACUGACCAAAAGAAAAGGUCUGACCACCAAAUGUACCACCCUGGAAGCUGCCACCAGUACUAAACUGUCCAGUCUACUGUCUCCCCAACUGGCUCCUGAAAGGUUUCCUGAAACGUCCUCUAGUCCUAUUUUGAGUACCAGAUCUCGAUCCACUGCUAUUGCCACUACCAGCUGAUGACCCUGAAGCAGAUGAUGAAGCAGCCUUCUUGGAUGGACCCUGAUUGGGGCCAUUAUAAUCUUGGGGCCGUGCACCAUAUGUCCCCCUGGUCUCAAUGGCCAUGGCUGCACUAAUUGCAUCAAUGAAGGUCGGGUAUAUUACACCGGUCAUCUUAUCUGCAUACACUCCACCAAGUGCCCCAAUGAACAUCUCUAUCCUGGUUUUCUCAUCCGGAACCAGGUAUGACACAUGAUAGCUCAAGGAAGUGAAUCUCUGCUCGAACUCUAUGACACCCACAUCAUUCCUCUUUUUCAUGAAAGUCCGACUGAAUCCUACUGCGAUGAGCAUAACUGAAAUAUUGCCCCAAGAAGAGCAUCUUAAACUGCUCCCAAGUCAUAUUGUGAGCAUCCUCAUUGUUCUUGCUGGCAAGCGACCACCGGUGAUGUGCUGAAUCAUCUAGAAAAGUCACCGCCAUCUUCACUUUCUUAUCCUCCGGCAAAUCAGUGCUCAUAAAAGCCUUUUCCAUCUUGUCUACCAAAGUGUAAGCAUCAAGGGGUCCUUUGGCACCCUUGAACUCCCCUGCCCCAGCCUUAAAAACAUCCUUCUUCUUCAUAGUCCGAGGGUUCUGAGCCCGAUCCAGAACACCCAUUAGCAUAUCCCCUAUAGAAUCUAUUAAUUCUCUGACCCCAUUGCCCUCAUUGGCGUUGGUCGAACCAGUUUCACGGGGUUGGCGUUGGCGUCUAGGAGGCAUAGUACUUGAAGAAGAAGAUAUUUAGUAGUCUAUAAAUAAGACUAAUACAACUAUCACACAUACCCAAUAACACAUAGCAUCCAAAGCAUAAACUGUUAAUGAAUCCGCUCCGGUCGGAUCAUCACUCUAUAGACACUACGUGCUACUUAGGUAAAUAUGAUAGUGACAAGGAGGCAGGAAAUGAAACCUAAAGCUCUGAUACCAACUGUCAAGACCCACCCCGAAUUUCACCCUGACACCCGAAGCAAGUCUUGGAGGGGUCCACCUCCAAAUUAGGCCUAAGUCUGAUGUCGAUCUGAGGCCUUUUCUGCUCGAGCCUCCUCACGCUUGUUCCAAAUGUAUAAUUAAAUUCCCAAUCGAAAUUCCAAUAUUUACACAAAAUAGGCAAAAAUAAAUGUGAGCCUCAACCACGCUCAUCAUUGCCUAACUUUGAAAUUCCUAAUUCAAAAUGUUCCAAACUUCAAUACCAAAACCAGCAGCCUUAUUUAGACCUUUCCACAGAUUAAGCAACUUUAAACCAACGGCCGGAUUGUAUCCUAAUUAACCGCCAAAAUACCAAACUUUGAAAAAAUCUCAUACCUAUCCAAAACUCCUCUAAAAAUUCCGAAAUUCACAUCAUUAAACUCCCCUUAAUAUAACAUAAUUACAACCAUGAAAAUCCCCCUAAUAGCGGCGGCACCGCAAUCUGCUCCGUCGACAACGGCAGCCGGCGACCUCCAAUACCUACCAAAUUUUAACAGCAUCUUCCUCUCAACUCACUCUACAACUUUCUUAACUAGCACAAAACCCAAUUUCAAACUUAACUAGGUCAAUCGAACAAAAACAUUACAAAGAGCCUUAGAGUUCCAAACAAUGAUUCUCUUUACCUAGCAUGAAUUGCACCAAAACCUUUCAAGGGAUUGAAGCACGGAAAGAGGGCUUCCUUUUGAGCCUAGCAGCUCCGGCUAUGGCGGCCGGAGGAGAGAGCUCCGGCGAGAAGACAACCGAGCUUCUAAGGAGGAUUUCCUCCGUUCGGCGGCGUUGCAGCGUCGCUCACCAGCCCAGGAAGACGGCGAAGAGGACGGCAGACUGAGCUGGACCGGUGCGGCAUCUCCUCUUGGCCGGACGCCGACAAUGGGGCUCGGGGAGUUUCCGGCAAUGUGAGAGGAAGAGAGAGGGUCGGGGAGAAGAGGAGAAGGAAGAGAGGAGAGAAAUGGUUUGGGCCUCUAAUCCCCAAACCGGUCCAACACCUUAAUACCCACACCAAAAAUAAACCCAACUCCAAAAAUAACACCACAAAAUAAUACCCCAAUAAAAAUUACGUUUUACUAGCUAAAAUUUACUAUUUUUACCGUAGUCACAUUUUUCUCCUACGAAUAAUUCCACUGAAAUAGUCAUCCCCCAAAACCCCUCUCGGGACCAAUUUAACUAUAAACUCAUUGACGAAGACGGUAAAACUCUUAUUAAUACUAAGCUAGUAAAUAAGGUAAAAAUUUAAGAGUUGAGAUGUGACAUGAAAAGUAAAGGGUGCAGAGCUCCGGAGAACUUGAAAAGUAAAGGGUUGCUAAGGCGAGAUGCUUUAGCGUUUAGAGGUUCAACUAUGUUGAGAGUUGAAUUGUAUUUUGUACAUAAUUGUUGAGUUGUUGAGUGAGUAGAGAGUAUCCUCGAACCCUUUUAUAUAAAGUUAUUUUAGGGCCACAGGUAUUGGCCCAAAGCAUGUCAAAGACUUGUAGAAGUCUUCAACGAUGAAUGUCGUAGGCAAUCACGUUCACUACCUCUUGAUAUAAUGCUGCUAGCUAGAUAAGGCUAGCGAACUUAUGGAUAAACAUGCAUACGCCUUGGACCUCCUAGUUGUAAUCAACCACGAUGUCUUCGCGGAGAAACUUUGAGUCCUACUUGAUAUACCCCUCGCGAAGCAAUACAACCCAAAGAGGACACGCCUAUUUUAUAUGCAUGCUUCUUCCAAAGACACGUACUAGGCGAUAUGCACCAUAUGACAUAAUUAAAGGCUUGAAUCCUUAGCUAUUGAUUUUGAAUAUGAGAAAGAUAUGUAUUAAUGUUGAGAAAACUUGUACAAGAUACAAACUAUAUAUAGAGGUAAGAACACAAGCUAUAGACCAAUAGAUCAAGUUCCUAACCUAAUCACCAUGUGAACUAAAAUCCUAGGGAAGAUAAACCACUGUAGAGAAGGAGUAAGAUAAUGUCCCUUAAUUUAAGAGACAACCUCAAAUCUAAUUAGAAUAAGUAUGGGACAGGAGAAGUGUAAAAUAAGUUAAUAGCUAACACACUAGGUAAUAACUAACACCCUAGGUAAUAGCUUCUAACAUUAGCCAAUGUGCACACAUGUACUCAUUAAACAAUUGAGGAUAACUAUUCUCAUCUUCAAUCAAGCAUGUGAAGGCGGAGUCCUUCAUGCAAACUGAUCCUCUUCGCGUGCCAACUUCAGACCCUCUCUCAUGCGGAGUCUUUCUCUCCUACGUGAAGCCACCCCUCACGCGAACUAUGUCACUCAACUCGCAUGACUCUGUUGGCGGGUCAUCACUUGUAAACCCAUUAUUUUGGGCUCGUCGGUAUGACGUGGAUCAUGAAUUUAACUAAUAUUCAUAUAGACAAUUAAUGUCCAGUAAAAUAUUAAUUUGGGUGUAAACAUAUAGGCCAAAUGCAAAGCUAUGAGGAAGCAAACAUGUUAGCCACAUCAACAAAGAUUCUUUUGGAUUUUAGCAACUUGUCUGAAAAACUAGGAUAGAUAGGAUCAUAGGGAUUCUUCCAGUCACAAGGGGAAUGAAGCCAAAAGAAAAGGACAAAUGCUUUUGAAAAACUAUUUAGUUUUAGUCAGGUAUAAAGACACUACAAAACCACUUUUCCUAAAAGGACACUUAGGACAGCUAAUAGCUUGGGCGGUGCAUGACAUGGGCCACCUGCUGACUUUGGUUUGUGUAUCACAAAACCGAACUGGACCCUUGAGGCACAAGAUCAACAUGUGGUCACGGGUUGGUUUGCCACACCACCCUAGAUUGACUUGGAGCUCAAGUACGAAUAUACAAAUGUUUUGCUAAAAGGGAUUUGAAAUUCAAACAUUUAAAAACUGAAGCAAAUACAUUUAAAUAUGCACAUGGUCAGACUCAACAGAUAAGAUAGAUACAGCAGAGGUAUCCAUCUAAAUUGAAUGACAAGCAGAGCUGCCAUCCUUAGUGAAAGAAUGUGAUGCACAUGCAUGAACUACCUGAUGCAUAUGAUAUCUAUCAGGUUCUUCAUUCUUCACUUGAGUAGUCCUUGCUACCAGGCUACAACAUGUAGCAUGUAUCCUUAUGUUUUGAUCAUAAAGGGAUAACCAACAAUUCUUAUACCAACACACCCAGACCAAAAUAAAAAGGGGAACAUACACAAAGGCACUGCAGACUCUAUAACAUAGAUACAACAAAAUAAAGAAAUCCUAAUUAGACCAAAUGUGCAAUCAGAGUCAACCAUAUAAAUUAUUUUUUCACAUUAAACAAAAAACCCCAGAACCAAUCCCAUCCUAACUCUUAAAAACUCAUAGCUAAAAGGAUUGGGGAACACCUUGAUUGAUGAAAUUAAUGUGAAACAGAUAAAAAGAGCAAUCUUUUCCAAAUGAAAAUUCUUCAAGAACCCAGCAAAAUAACAAUGAUUUGAGAAAAUUUAACUAUAUAAAGACAAAAGGAAUCAAUCAACUUUGCUAACUGAAAACAUCAUUCAUUGACAACAUCAUGAUUGAAAACUAUGACCAACCCAAAUGAAGAGAAUUUGGAUUACCUGGAUGGAGUAGGAAGUGGGUGGUACUUGGUAGUGAGGAUUGAACUACUACUACUUCUUCUUCUUCCUCAAAACUUCUUAAAAAUAAAAUAAAAUUACCAUGGGCAUGCACGACAUUGUUUGUACGGGUCGUCCAUAUGUCGCCGUCUGAAACACUCUAAACUGCACCACAUAGAUUCACAUAGUGAUGUCGGCGUGGGAUUGGGCUUUAGGCUUCCUCUCAGGCCUCGACAGUUAAACUAUUUAUUCUUAGAGCUAGAAAAAUAAAUAAAUAAGUGGACAAUAACAUAACUUGUGCCACUUAUCGACAACACAACUACAAGCAAGAGCAUAAAACAAUUUUUUUUUUGAGAAGAAAUAACUUUAUUGAUAACGGAAUAAAAUUACAGCAUAAUAGAAUGACCGGUUAUGGUACCUACACCACGACACACAUUCCCAAAAAGAUCUGUAGUUACGGGUCCAUCGCCAACAGCAAUAUCCAUGAGCCAAGUAGGUCCAACCCCUAACCCAAUUUCACGCUCAGAAAGAGCUACACAGUCUUGAGAGUAACGAUACAACCUUGCCGUCAACACUAAAACGAGUAAAUUCCCCGUCUUCAAUACCGUGUCCAAAUACCACCAGACCACGUGCAAAAGCAAUCUACUCUCAUGUUGCCACACAGACCGCACCGAUAUUAAAGUCGAUAGUCGCCAGGAAUAACGCCACCAAAGUAGCAUACUGACCAGAACACGACACCCUAACCCUCGCCCAAAAGAGGAGGGACUUAGACCUAAACAAAAAUCUAAAUAAACACUAACCAAAAAACAGAAACCAACAAAGGACCAAACCUGGCCCAAAACCACACCACUGGUCCAAGCCCACCAAACCAGUACCAUUGAAGGCCUAAACCUGCUCCACCCAGUCCAAAACAGCAACUGCAUCGUCACCUCCGUUUCACCCUGUUUCUACCUCUUUCCGAGUUCACGGGACGGGAG
rnacentral:lncRNA from 1 species